UACAGAGGUCUCAAGCGUUGUUCGGAAUUACUGGGCGUAAAGCGCGUGUAGGCGGCCCUGCAAGUCGGGUGUGAAAUCCCACGGCUCAACCGUGGAAGUGCACUCGAAACUGCAGGGCUAGAGUCCUGGAGAGGAAGGUGGAAUGCUUGGUGUAGAGGUGAAAUUCGUAGAUAUCAAGCGGAACACCGGUGGCGAAGGCGGCCUUCUGGACAGUGACUGACGCUGAGACGCGAAAGCGUGGGGAGCAAACAGG
rnacentral:rRNA from 1 species